rnacentral:rRNA from 1 species
GAUGAACGCUGGCGGCGUGCCUAAUACAUGCAAGUCGAGCGAACAGACGAGGAGCUUGCUCCUCUGACGUUAGCGGCGGACGGGUUAGUAACACGUGGAUAACCUACCUAUAAGACUGGGAUAACUUCGGGAAACCGGAGCUAAUACCGGAUAAUAUAUUGAACCGCAUGGUUCAAUAGUGAAAGACGGUUUUGCUGUCACUUAUAGAUGGAUCCGCGCCGCAUUAGCUAGUUGGUAAGGUAACGGCUUACCAAGGCAACGAUGCGUAGCCGACCUGAGAGGGUGAUCGGCCACACUGGAACUGAGACACGGUCCAGACUCCUACGGGAGGCAGCAGUAGGGAAUCUUCCGCAAUGGGCGAAAGCCUGCCGGAGCAACGCCGCGUGAGUGAUGAAGGUCUUCGGAUCGUAAAACUCUGUUAUUAGGGAAGAUCAAAUGUGUAAGUAACUAUGCACGUCUUGACGGUACCUAAUCAGAAAGCCACGGCUAACUACGUG